UGCGGGGUGGAGCAGUCUGGUAGCUCGUCGGGCUCAUAACCCGAAGGUCGUUGGUUCAAAUCCGACCCCGCAUCCA
rnacentral:tRNA from 1 species